GGAAAAUUUAGAAAUGUCCACUGUAGGACAUGGAAUAUGGCAAGAAAACUGAAAAUCAUGGAAAAUGAGAAACAUCCACUUGACGACUUGAAAAAUGACGAAAUCACUGAAAAACGUGAAAAAUGAGAAAUGCACACUGUAGGACCUGGAAUAUGGCGAGAAAACUGAAAAUCACGGAAAAUGAGAAAUACACACUUUAGGACGUGAAAUAUGGCGAGGAAAACUGAAAAAGGUGGAAUUUAGAAAUGUCCACUGUAGGACAUGGAAUAUGGCAAGAAAACUGAAAAUCAUGGAAAAUGAGAAACAUCCACUUGACGACUUGAAAAAUGAUGAAAUCACUGAAAAACGUGAAAAAUGAGAAAUGCACACUGUAGGACCUGGAAUAUGGCAAGAAAACUGAAAAUCACGGAAAAUGAGAAUGAAAUUGAUGAUGAAAAACGUGAAAAAUGAGAAAUGCACCCUGUAGGACCUGGAAUAUGGCAAGAAAACUGAAAAUCACGGAAAAUGAGAAAUACACACUUUAGGAUGUGAAAUAUGGCGAGGAAAACUGAAAAAGGUGGAAAAUUUAGAAAUGUCCACUGUAGGACAUGGAAUAUGGCAAGAAAACUGAAAAUCAUGGAAAAUGAGAAACAUCCACUUGACGACUUGAAAAAAGACGAAAUCACUGAAAAACCUGAAAAAUGAGAAAUGCACACUGUAGGACCUAGAAUAUGGCGAGGAAACUGAAAAUCACGGAAAAUGAAAAUACACACUUUAGGACGUGAAAUAUGGCGAGGAAAACUGAAAAAGUUGGAAAAUUUAGAAAUGUCCAUUGUAGGACAUGGAAUAUGGCAAGAAAACUGAAAAUCAUGGAAAAUGAGAAACAUGCACUUGACCACUUGAAAAAUGACGAAAUCACUGAAAAAAGUGAAAAAUGAGAAAUGCACACUGUAGGACCUGGAAUAUGGCGAGAAAACUGAAAAUCACUGAAAAUGAGAAAUACACACUUUAGGACAUGAAAUAUGGCGAGGAAAACUGAAAAAGGUGGAAAAUUUAGAAAUGUCCACUGUAGGACAUGGAAUAUGGCAAGAAAACUGAAAAUCAUGGAAAAUGAGAAACAUCCACUUGACGACUUGAAAAAUGACAAAAUCACUGAAAAACGUGAAAAAUGAGAAAUGCACACUGUAGGACCUGGAAUAUGGCAAGAAAACUGAAAAUCAUGGAAAAUGAGAAAAAAAAUUGAAAAAUGAGAAAUGCACACUAGGACCUAGAAUAUGGCGAGGAAACUGAAAAUCACGG
rnacentral:lncRNA from 1 species